UACGUAGGGACCAAGCGUUGUUCGGAUUUACUGGGCGUAAAGGGCGCGUAGGCGGCAAUUCAAGUCAGCUGUGAAAUCUCCGGGCUUAACUCGGAACGGUCAUCUGAUACUGCUUUGCUAGAGUGCAGAAGGGGCAAGCGGAAUUCUUGGUGUAGCGGUGAAAUGCGUAGAUAUCAAGAGGAACACCUGAGGUGAAGACGGGUUGCUGGGCUGACACUGACGCUGAGGCGCGAAAGCUAGGGUAGCAAACGGG
rnacentral:rRNA from 1 species